CGGGCACAGCGGGAAGCCAGGUGGUGACACCGAGCAGAACCCGAAAGCCGUUCUCAGUUCGGAUCGGAGUCUGCAACCCGACUCCGUGAAGCUGGAUUCGCUAGUAAUCGCGCAUCAGCCAUGGCGCGGUGAAUACGUUCCCGGGCCUUGUACACACCGCCCGUCAAGCCAUGGAAGCCGGGGGCGCUUGAAGUGCGUUGCCGCAAGGCGCGCCCUAGAGCGAAACCGGUGACUGGGGCUAAGUCGUAACAAGGUACC
rnacentral:rRNA from 1 species